rnacentral:rRNA from 1 species
GACGAACGCUGGCGGCGUGCCUAAUACAUGCAAGUCGAACGCUUCUUUCCUCCCGAGUGCUUGCACUCAAUUGGAAAGAGGAGUGGCGGACGGGUGAGUAACACGUGGGUAACCUACCCAUCAGAGGGGGAUAACACUUGGAAACAGGUGCUAAUACCGCAUAACAGUUUUUCCCCAUUGCAUUAGGGUGAAAGGGGCCUUCGGGGGUUGGCUGUGGAUGGACCCGCGGUGCAUUAGCUAGUUGGUGAGGUAACGGCUCACCAAGGCCACGAUGCAUAGCCGACCUGAGAGGGUGAUCGGCCACACUGGGACUGAGACACGGCCCAGACUCCUACGGGAGGCAGCAGUAGGGAAUCUUCGGCAAUGGACGAAAGUCUGACCGAGCAACGCCGCGUGAGUGAAGAAGGUUUUCGGAUCGUAAAACUCUGUUGUUAGAGAAGAACAAGGACGUUAGUAACUGAACGUCCCCUGACGGUAUCUAACCAGAAAGCCACGGCUAACUACGUG